rnacentral:rRNA from 1 species
GUGCCAGCAGCCGCGGUAAUACGUAGGACCCGAGCGUUGUCCGGAUUCACUGGGUAUAAAGGGUGCGUAGGCGGUCUUGUGCGUCAGAGGUGAAAUAUCCGGGCUUAACCCGGAGGGUGCCUUUGAUACGGCAGGACUUGAGUGCGGGAGAGGAUGAUGGAAUUCCUGGUGUAGCGGUGAAAUGCGUAGAUAUCAGGAGGAACACCGGUGGCGAAGGCGGUCAUCUGGUCCGUUACUGACGCUGAGGCACGAAAGCGCGGGGAUCAAACAGGAUUAGAAACCCGCGUAGUCC